rnacentral:tRNA from 1 species
GGCGCCCGUAGCUCAGCUGGAUAGAGCGUCGGACUUCUAAUCCGUUGGUAGAAGUCCUGGAAACACAGAUAUGGCCCCUGACCUGCGGUUAUGCAGGUCAGGGGCCG